CAAAUUCUUUUAUGGAGUCUUCCUAAAACUCUAUAUGCCUUUGCUAACCUGUUGUCUAUCUCUCCAUCAAUCCACAGAUGCACCUAUCUUUGGGGAAAAUUGCUCACCUUUUACUGUUGAAGAAAUCUUCUAAUUGCUACUAAGGAGCAAUCCUGCCGUGGUCCGAAAGGGGGGAGGGGAAUGGGGCCGCGACACAGCAUGGAUCCAAGACACAAAGUUCCUUUCUGCUGGCUGAAUAAAUAAUUAACUAUGCAAAGUAAACUGGAACAACUUUGACAUGAGGUGCUGGAAGAAUGCCCUACUUAAUCCUUACACCUUGAGGCUUAAGGCUCUACCUACCUUGUGAAUGAGAUAACUGGAAAUGAACCUGUGUGUCCCACAAGAGUUCGAUGCGAUGACACGGAAUCAAUGAUUCCCAGAACACCACCAGUCACCUAAUGCAGACUAACCAGGCCUAUCCUUCAACUUUUUCAGGUCAGUUCAGGAUUAAAAGAUGAUCUGUUCUGCAAAGAAGAACCCAUCACUUGUGGAAAGCAUGUGCCAGGCUUGUCUAGCAUGACAGCAGGUUUUUCACUAUUUUCAGCACCUGUGUGAAACUAUGAAUGAUUCAUGGCUUAAAUGAUUCACUAUAAAAAUAUGGUACAGUCUGUCAGUUUAUUGUGUGAUGAGUUGAUAUCACUGCAGAGUUGGUUUUAUGAA